GAUCGUGUAGUUUAAGUAAAAUAGUAGAUUGCAAAUCUGAAGAUGGUUGGCCUACGAUCU
rnacentral:tRNA from 1 species